CUUUUACGCUGCUGCUACUCUGUUUAUUAUCUAUGCAUAGUCACUUUAACUCUACCUACCUACAUGUACAUAUUACCUCAACUAACCGGGUUCUCCCGCACAUUGACAGUGUACCGGUACCCCCUGUAUAUAGCCUCGCUAGUGUUAUUUUACUGCUGCUAUUUAACUUACUUUUUACUUUACCUUAAAGGUUAAGGGCGUGUAAGUAAGCAUUUCACUGGAAGGUAAUACCUGUUGUAUUUUGCUCAUGUGACUAACAUUUGAUUUGACUCUUCCAUUUACUUAGCUAUGUCAACUGCAGUUACUCAAUUCCCAGUUUCUCUCCCUUUAAUUUCUACUUCUCAGGUGAGGGUGCUGUUUAGGUAAGGAUGUGAUGUCUGUCCAAAAACAAAACAGGCUGUUAAGAUUCACCCAUAUUGAAUAAAUGUAGAACAAUUAGACACCCUAUAACCCACACACUCAUGUAUCAAUCUGAUUGAUGGAUUGUGUUGUGCAGGUUCAGGUGUAUAACUGUGGCUCCUUCCACCUUCAAAGAAUAUGCAAGAGGGUCAACUAUGGAGAAUAGUUGUCGGUGAACAGCAUCAACUCCCGAAAAUCAGCAGAGGUGUUAGCUUUGCUGGCUGAACACCAGCAAUUAAACAGAGACUCUUUGUCCCUUGCAAACUCAACAAACAUACAGUGAGGUUUUUAUUUGUGGUUCCUGAAGCACUGCCUAUAAGCUUCAGGCACCAACUCAGAAGCCCAAAACACAGUAGUUUUAACUGUAUCGUAGUGUAAAUUGUCUUCCAGGGAGAGAGCAGCUACUACCUCCUGGACUUUCCCAGACAAUUUACAUCACAACAGGAGCGGCCAAACCUCGAUUGGCCAAUGCAGCGCAGUGGCAGUGCAGCGCACUCAAACGCAGAGAAAUACGAAUCAACUCCCGGAAUGGAUGGACUAAAGCUAUAUUUUUACUCACAUCGAGGUGGGCUUGAUGAGCAGGUUGUGGAGUCGCACUGGAGCCAGCAUCUAGCUCCAGUUGUCAGAUCCUAACCUCCUUGUCGAUUUCCAUUUUCCUCAUUUCUAGAUCAAACUGCAUCCGUCUAUCUUUUUGCUCCAUUUCUAAAGGGGCCAGCCUCACCUUCAGCCUAACGGUCCUGUCUGAACGACCCGAAGCAGAAGAUAAAGGGUCAAAUCGGGGCAAUGUAAAGGGGGUACGAGCAACUCCUUCCUCCGCCCUGUCCUCCGACUUGGCAUCGGAAGGUCUAUCAGUCUCCUCUCCUGAAGCCUCACUCAUCUUUCAAUGGGAGAAUUCAUUAACUCACUAAACCCUCCCUGACUAGCACCAAAAGCUCAGCCUUUAGGGCUUUCGCAGGGACGAAGAGUCCAUAAUGGUCAGCUAUAGCGACAAGGUCUACUUUCCGCAACCCCACCAAACGAUCAACAGAUGGCGCUUCAAUAAAUUUGGAGAUGGCCGAGGCAGCCAUUUUGUACACUGCAGUCUACUGAACACACAAACUAUACAAGUCAUCCAAACUCACAACCUACCAUCCCACCACAAUCACUAACCACAGAGAGCUCAGCGCAGCAGGGUCCGGUGGGUUUAAAGGAAUUAUCCCGGAUGAGCCCCCAUUAUGUUACAUAUGCCUCUAGGAAGAGGGAACGCAACACCCUGCUACAACUCAACUCCCCAUGGUGUGGAAGAGGUAUAGGACUGUAGGUGCGAGUAAGGAUGACAAAGGCAGAGAAUGUACCGCUUACAGGGAAUUUAUUGAUUCCUUCACACGGUAAAUUUGAGGAAAAGGGGCUGGACGGAACCAAAGCAAAGAAACUAAAUGUCAAAGCCCACGCUCCUACCUUACCUGCCUACCCACGACUUACUGAACUCAGCACCACCUGGUGCACUAACCAAAAUACAGGGGGUGGUCCGCCCAGGCCUUACCUAGUGUGCAUAGAGAGUGAAUACUACAGGUUAUGUAUGCCCGCAGGCCUCUAGCCUAAGCACUCCCUAGGUGCAUUCACCCCCUAGGAACAAAAGCAGAAUAAUUACUAAUCAUAACAGUCCUUUUGGCAUACACAUACCUUUGCAGAACCAGCUACAAAAUACUAUACACAAACUAUUUGAGCAACAACCAACACAAGACAUAACAAUAAGCUCUUUCUAAGAAACAACCAACACAGGCUAUCACCCUCAGCUCUCUUAAUAACAACAAUCAACACAGAACACACUAAUCAUCGCUCUUUUGAGCAACAGAACACUGGCUUAUAUAGCUUCAGAAGGAGUCGGUAAUUGAAGACAGCUGUUUCUGACAAGAGGGCGGGGUCAGCUCCAAUCAUCAAUGGGGCUGACCAAUCAGCUGCUUGGGGGAAUUUCAGGAAGCCAUCCUGAAACACACACAUACAAACAAAACCUCAACACAGAAACGGGUACGUCACACAGAUCAAUGCAGAUGAAGGAAAUUAGAUAUUGAGAUGAACCGGUUUUAGAUUAUUUACAUGACGCAUAGGAAGUGUAGUGUACUGUUUUUUAAGUUACAUUUCUGUAUAUAUGAAUUACAAAUCAGCCUUUAACUAGUUAAAUCAUAUUUCUUGUCUCUAUUGCAGUUACAAUGUGUAACAAUUGACGUCCCAGGACCAAGAUUGGUAAACACUGUUGAAGUGUUUAAUUGUAAUACAUAAAUGCAGAUACAGCAUCAAUCAAAGACUGGAAUUUGAUACUCCUGGUAUUGGAUAUGACUGAAAAAUAAUCUCAUUCACACCUGAAGUGCACCUUUAUUUACCAAAGUAGAGUACAUGAUCAGUGAAUGUAUAAAAUGUACAGGCUACAAUGUGGGGAUGCUUGGUAAUAACUACAUGUAUAUACGAGUUGCAUCCUUGGCACAAAGUUAUAUUAUAUUCUACUCAAUCCAUAGGCUUCAUUAAUGCCAUUCAGACAGGUUUGAAGUCGAUACAACUGGCUAUGAUAGCUGAGGUUCAUAACUAGGUUCUGAUGCCAAAAGUUUUACGGUCCAUACACAGAUCGGCUACAUAGCUAACAUUAGCUACACACCACACCCAUAGGCAUACAGGCAUUUGUAUCCUCCACUGCACAAUAAGCAAGAAAAUAGUUACAGUAGCUAGCUACGUUACUUCAUCUAUCUGCAUUGCAUGGCAAAUAUCAGCAAAGCAAGAUCACAAAAUUGUACCUUACAUUUGCAGUAAAUGCUUUAGCUAGCUAGAUUCUUCACAUCCACUAUUUCACAACAGCUUGGGUUGCUGGUUGUUUCAGGAGUCCCUAAAACAUUAAACAACCAGAAUUACAAUUUCAUACUCAUGUCACAACACCCAUUAAGCUAGCUGGCUAUCUAGUCAGCUAGCUUGCUAAAUCUCGAUUUUCCUAAAUUAACUUUAUGACAACAAAAUAUGCGUAAUCGUUUGUCUCCACAUUAACUAACAUAUUCCUGUCAUGUUUUGCCUGAUUCGUUAUAACGUUGUAAUCACUUACACUUGCCUCCGUCCCAUAUUGACAUAGUUUCCUUAUAUACAUGUUAUUACAUUUGAUACUCCUCUGGAGUGAAUGUAACAUUGUGUGUUCUAAUAAAUUCUGGAUAAUCAUAUAGUUGUCCAAAGUUUGUAUUUUUCACCGCUUCCCGCCGACAUUUGCAAUGCAAUGCAGCUGAAGUAACGUAGCUAGGUAACUAUUUUCUAGCUUAUUCCCUUCAGGAACAAAAACAAUGGCCAUUUACAAUGCCAGACCUGCCGUGUGGUACUGGCACAUGACGUGGGCGCUAUUGAGUCUCGGCAGCUAACCAAGCGAGGGUCAUUAUAUACAACAGUUAGAUCGAUGGAUAUGUUCCCCUGACCAAUUAUAACGAUGAACAAAAUGUUAUAAUUGUUUACGGUUGAAAAUUUGGAACUGGCUCCAGUGUAGGCCCUUUGCGAUUUGAUAUAGCGCUGAGCGUCUAUUUAAACAAUGAGGCCCAAGAGGGUGUGGUAUAUGGGUUAUAUAUACCAAGGCUACGGGUUGUUCCACACGACGCAACGCGGAGUGCCUGCAUACAGCCCUUAGCCGUGGUACAUAGGCCAUAUACCACUAACCCCCAAAGUGCCUUAUUGCUUUUACAAACCGGUUGCCAACACAGUAAUGCAAGAAACUACAUAUCUAUAUUGAAAAUGUUGCUUUAAUAAAUACAUUCACAAUAAAUACAUACUGCCAGAAAAAGUAGUCCGGACGAAAGUAUCAACGCUAAACUGGUUGCUAUGCAACAUAACCACAGGCAAGAUGGCAAGUUUACAUUAAAAUAAUGCAAAAACCGAGCAUUAGCGCCCCUUUAUAGAAUGACUAACACAUGACAAUUAUUUAUUAACAUUGAUCUGAAUGUUGUCAUUUAUUGUGCACAAAUGAAAAAAAAAAUCCGUGUUUGUUGGCUCCACGCUACUUAUAAAUGGAUGACGAGGUAGUAGUUUGUGUACAUCUAUGACGAACCAGCUAUUUUUCAUGGUUUUGGCAGCAUUGUUACGAGGGUGUUCACUCCUAUCGGCUCUUGACAUGUGUACAUUGAAACACAGGGGGAAACAACGUUAGCUAAUAGUUAGGACUACACAACGACCGGUUAUAUUGUCAGGGUAAAUUUAGAAUGAUGUAACUAGCUAACUAACAGUUACAUAUCAUACGUAUCCAUUCACUGCUUUGUCGCACCCCUCUUCCUCAACUUUUUAAUUACGCUGAGAGACGACACAUUGUUGCGCGUUGUGAUUUCGGUGUCCUGUAUAUUCCAUGCCAGACUGAGAGGGGGUCAUUGAUAUGUCGGUUCAAAUCCAGCGGCAAUUUAGCUGCUAAUCCCAUUUUUUUCGCAAUUCAUGUUUCUCAUUUAACCAUAAAAGUCCCGUAAAAUGACUUUCAGCUCCAUUUUGGUUGUAUUCACAAACUCACAAUGUAUCCCUUGUUCGGCGAACCAGUCAGUGAAGCGGUUCAGAUGAGGACAAGGAGUCAUCCUCCAGUGAAAAUGAGAGGACGAUCGGGACAGACCGGACAUCCUGGUACCUGGUCACAUCCAGCUGUGACCUGUCAAUCAAGGCAGGUGGGGCGGAGCUCCACCUGUUUUGAGGGAGGCCCAACAUGUUUUGCAUGUUAUUCUGACAUCAAUACCUGUCACAUAUCCGCUUUUAAAAAAAUGUGAAUAAAAUAAUUGACUUAAUAUAGCCACAUAUACAAACUUGGUCUCUUUUUUGCUUUCUUGAGUAAGGCAGCUCCAAAAUGCAGGUGUUCAGCCUAGUUUAGUGCUUUUUGUGGUGGUGGGGCAGCCAGCGGAAAAUGCGGAGCGAAGGGGUUGGUAAAGUUCUCCAGUUGCGCCGUGAUUGGGGAAUGUUCUCCAGUUGCACCGUGAUUGGCUCAGUGUUCUGUCUCAUAGGGACACGACAACACCGUAAAAUCUAAGUACCCAUCCAAGUAGGCUCCAGGUUAUUGGCCACAGAUACAAUGACGUCAAAUUACAUUAUAUCUACAGUAGCG